GGGCGUUUCCCGAGAGCGAUUGCGCAGUUCCAGUGGAGUCUUCAGACACUGCAAACAGUGAAACUUUCAGAUAGUACCUUUGCGAAUAUUCUCCUCCAGUCAUGAAGUGGACUUUGGCGGCCAUCUCUCUUCUUGUUUCCCUGGGUGCAGUGCAUGCUCUGAAUUGCUACGAGUGUGCUGCAGGAACAUGCAAUGACCCGUUCAACAGAGCCGACGGCACCGAAAGGGAUUGUGGGUCUGCAGGCGACGCAUGCUUAAAAAUCAAAGCCAAAGACGUAGUUCAGCGCCAAUGUGGGGCUACCGCUGGCUGCCUUGACGCAUUGACCGGUGGGACGAACAGCUGCAAGACUAUUUCUGUUUUAGGAAUCGACACAACAACUUGCUGUUGCACCUCUACCCUUUGCAACAGCGCCACCAUUCGUCGGGUCAGCUACGCCGUGAUGUCUGCCAUGUUGCUUUUGAUCAAAGCUGUUUUGUAAACGUCACAGGCAACUGUAUUUGCUGUGACAUCUACAUUAAAGUCAAAGCGUACACAGAUUUCGGAAACAGAGUCUCAACAGCUCAUAAUUUGCAGGAGAGAUUAGUCAAAUUUUGCUCUUGUAUUAUUAGCUUUUCCUCUCAAAUUUCCUUCUGAUUUCUUGCCAAAAAUCAGUGGUUCGGUACACACUCGUCGAAUUUUUAUUGACUUCAGGAAAAAGAAAAAAAAAUUCUCAAACGCCGCUCCUGUUCCGUGUGAUUUGCAUGCAUUGAUUAUUCUCAUUUGAAAUUCAUUAAUUUAUGAUUUGCGCAUGUGUACCAGUUCAUUGCAUGCUUGUGCUUUUUGUCAUUUUGUCAACAACCAGCACCCACGCUUUUCUUGGUGUUCCCAAGGUCAUGCCUCUUUUGUAAAAGUGUAAUAUCAUGAAGAAAUCUGCGUGUAGGACAGUGCAACAGGGGAAAGAUGAUAAAUAAACACUACGCUUCAUCUCCUUUUCGUCGAACCACUGAUUAAAAGCUUCCCAGCGUACCAAAAAGUUAGCAAUUGUGGAAUCCCUAGUGCCCCUAAGCAUGUCCUUUUCUGACAUUCCUUUUAAAACAAUAUUCCUUGUUUUCCUGGGAGCUUCAUUGAUAUUCAAAUGUGCUCCAAACACGUUCAGGUUAAUCUUUAAAUUUCUUCCUCACGGUCUUACAACAACGGUUACUUUAUCCACCUCGUCGUGAUGGAAACGUCGCUCUUUCAUGCUUGUAACAGGUUGCAGAUCCACUGUGUAAAACCCAUCCAAAACUUUAAUGCGGGUUAUUUCCUUCAUAUACGCGUGAAGAACUGAUUAAUGAAAGCCUAUGACAAACUGGCAUUAUCAAUCCGAAAUCAAGUUAUUCCAAUAAUCCUAGAUGUGCGUAUGUUUAAAUAAUAAGCCUUUGUUUCGGCAUUCGGACAGCGCAUGCCCUAACUGUGGCGCGUACAAGGUCAUUUGGGAACAAUACACAUUUGCGAGGUAUGAACAAUCAGACCGGCCAUACGCCGACUUGUGGGCGUGCUUUGUUCUCCGAUGACCUUGGCCAAUUGGAACCCACUCUGCAAACGAUUAUGUAAAGUCCUAGGGACCCAUGUAACCUCGACAAGGGGGGGGGUGAUUUUUGACCAUCUUGUAGACCAGUACAUUUGUUUCUUACGGUAUAUGCACCAGGGAGGCUUCCUGUGGGACAUAAAAACUGGCCAGCAAGAUGGCUACCAUGCAAAGCCUCGAUUUACACAACUGAAGCUAAUAAGGGCAGAUGAGCAUUCAGAUCUUUAGAACCUUAAAUCAUAAUGUCAAGUUUGAGGCUUGAAUGUGGUCAUAUGCCGCACUCAGUUCCUUGUGCAGACAAUCCACAGCUGGUAUAUUCAUCGUGUCUUUUUUCUGGGCGUCUGGAGCGCAUUCAAAAAAAAACCUGAAACUGCAUUAUUUUAACCAAUAAUACCGUGACUGUAAGAAACCAUUCGUGGUGUGAACAUCACAAAUUGCUUUGUAUCUAAAACUGGUGAAAUACAUUUUUCUGAGGUGAUCUUUAAUAAAAUAUAACGAGAAACACA